rnacentral:rRNA from 1 species
UCGCGAAACCUUUGCAAUACACGAAAGUGUGACAGGGCUAUCCCGAGUGCCAUCCGCUGAGGAAGGCUUUUACCCAGUCUAGAACGCUGGGGGAAUAAGGAGAGGGCAAGUCUGGUGUCAGCCGCCGCGGUAAUACGGGGGGUGCAAGCGUUGUUCGGAAUUAUUGGGCGUAAAGAGCGUGUAGGCGGCUGAAUAAGUCAGAUGUGAAAUCCCUGGGCUUAACUCAGGAAGUGCAUUUGAAACUAUUCAGCUCGAGUAGGGGAGAGGAAAGUGGAAUUCCUGGUGUAGAGGUGAAAUUCGUAGAUAUCAGGAGGAACACCGGUGGCGAAGGCGACUUUCUGGCCCUAUACUGACGCUGAGACGCGAGAGCGUGGGUAGCAAACA